rnacentral:rRNA from 1 species
AGAGUUUGAUUAUGGCUCAGAACGUACGCUGGCGGCACGCCUAACACAUGCAAGUCGAACGAAGUAGCAAUACUUAGUGGCAGACGGGUGAGUAACAUGUAGGUAUCUGCCCUUUGGCCUGGAAUAACACGAGGAAACUUGUGCUAAUACCGGAUAAGUCUUUACGGAGAAAGCUUUAUGCACCAUUGGAUGAGCCUGCACUUGAUUAGUUUGUUGGUGGGGUAAUGGCCUACCAAGACUAUGAUCAAUAGCUGAUUUGAGAGGAUGAUCAGCCACAUUGGGACUGAGACACGGCCCAAACUCCUACGGGAGGCAGCAGUGGGGAAUCUUGCACAAUGGAGGAAACUCUGAUGCAGCGAUGCCGCGUGAGUGAAGAAGGCCCUUGGGUUGUAAAGCUCUUUCGUCGGGGAAGAAAAUGACUGUACCCGAAUAAGAAGGUCCGGCUAACUUCGUGCCAGCAGCCGCGGUAAUACGAAGGGACCUAGCGUAGUUCGGAAUUACUGGGCUUAAAGAGUUCGUAGGUGGUUGAAAAAGUUGGUGGUGAAAUCCCAGAGCUUAACUCUGGAACUGCCAUCAAAACUUUUCAGCUAGAGUAUGAUAGAGGAAAGCAGAAUUUCUAGUGUAGAGGUGAAAUUCGUAGAUAUUAGAAAGAAUACCAAUUGCGAAGGCAGCUUUCUGGAUCAUUACUGACACUGAGGAACGAAAGCAUGGGUAGCGAAGAGGAUUAGAUACCCUCGUAGUCCAUGCCGUAAACGAUGUGUGUUAGACGUUGGAAAUUUAUUUUCAGUGUCGCAGCGAAAGCAAUAAACACACCGCCUGGGGAGUACGACCGCAAGGUUAAAACUCAAAUGAAUUGACGGGGACCCGCACAAGUAGUGGAGCAUGUGGUUUAAUUCGAAGAUACGCGCAGAACCUUACCAACACUUGACAUGUUCGUCGCGACUCUAAGAGAUUAGAGUUUUCGGUUCGGCCGGACGAAACACAGGUGCUGCAUGGCUGUCGUCAGCUCGUGUCGUGAGAUGUUGGGUUAAGUCCCGCAACGAGCGCAACCCUCACUUUUAGUUGCCAUCAUUAAGUUGGGCACUCUGAAAGAACUGCCAGUGAUAAGCUGGAGGAAGGUGGGGAUGACGUCAAGUCCUCAUGGCCCUUACGUGUUGGGCUACACACGUGCUACAAUGGCAUCUACAACAGGAAGCAAAACGGCAACGUUAAGCAAAUCCCGAAAAGAUGCCUCAGUUCGGAUUGCACUCUGCAACUCGAGUGCAUGAAGCUGGAAUUACUAGUAAUCGUGGAUCAGCGUGCCACGGUGAAUGCGUUCCCGGGUCUUGUACACACCGCCCGUCACACCAUGGGAGUUGGUUCUACCUUAAGGCAAGGUUUUAAACCCUUGACCACGGUAUAGUCAGCGACUGGGGUGAAGUCGUAACAAGGUA